rnacentral:rRNA from 1 species
GAGUUUGAUCUUGGCUCAGGACGAACGCUGGCGGUGUGCCUAAUACAUGCAAGUCGCACGAACCUUCGGGUUAGUGGCGGACGGCUGAGUAAUACGUAGAUAACGUGCCUUAAACUGGGGGAUAACAGAGGGAAACUUCUGCUAAUACCGCAUACGUGCCGGGUUGAAAUACCCGUCAUUAAAGCUCCGGCGGUUUAAGAUCGGUCUGCGGCAGAUUAGCUUGUUGGUGGGGUAAUGGCCUACCAAGGCUACGAUCUGUAGCUGGUCUGAGAGGAUGAUCAGCCAGAGUGGAACUGAGACACGGUCCACACUCCUACGGGAGGCAGCAGUAGGGAAUAUUGCGCAAUGGGCGAAAGCCUGACGCAGCAACACCGCGUGGAGGAUGACGUCUCUAGGGAUGUAAACUCCUGUCAGCAGGGAAUAUAAUGACUGUACCUGCAGAGGAAGCACCGGCUAACUUCGUGCCAGCCGCCGCGGU